rnacentral:rRNA from 1 species
AUGUGUGGCGGAGCGAUCCUCGCCGAGCUCAUCCCGGGGGGCGCGCCGGCGCGGCGCGCCGCGUCCGGCCACGUCUGGCCGGGCAAGGCCGCCGACGACUUCGAGGCCGCGUUCCGGGACUUCAACGAGGAGGAGGACGUGGUGGUGGUGGUGGAGGAGGAGGUGGCCGAGAGCAAGCCCUUCGUGUUCGCCGCCUCGCCCAAGAAGCCGCAGCAGCAGCGGGAGGAGGAGGAGCAGGCGGCGCCCGCCCGCCGGAGGAAGCCGGCGCAGUACCGCGGCGUGCGGCGCCGGCCGUGGGGCAAGUGGGCCGCCGAGAUCCGCGACCCCGUCAAGGGCGUCCGCGUCUGGCUCGGCACCUUCCCCUCCGCCGAGGCCGCCGCGCUCGCCUACGACGGCGCCGCGCGCGCCAUCCGCGGGCCCAGGGCCAAGCUCAACUUCCCUCCCUCCUCUGCCGUCGCCGCCGCGGCCCCGGGAUCGCGCAAGCGCGUCCGCGCAGAAGCCCUCGCGGCCCCCGCCGCCAAGCCGGCGCCGGUCGUCACCCUCGUCGACGACGAGGAGGAGCACGCGUCGUCCUUGUUCGUCAAGCACGAGGCCGAGCCGAGCGAGGGCUCCGAGUCCAGCGGCGCCCUCCCCGACUUCUCGUGGCAGGGCAUGUCGGCGCUCGACGAGGCCCCGGCGUACCCCGCCCCGGAGCCCGAGACCGAGCAGCUGACAAAGCGGGCGAGGACGACGGAGGCGGAGGACAUCGACGAGGGCAUGUCGGCCCACCCGGCGUCCGACUCCGACUCCGACGCGCUCUUCGACGCCCUCCUCUUCGCCGACCAGUUCGCCUACUUCAACGGCGGCGCCUACGAGUCCCUGGACAGCCUCUUCAGCGCCGACGCCGUGCAGAGCGGCGCCACCGCCACCGCCGCCGCCGCGGACGAGGCGGGCCUGGGGCUCUGGAGCUUCGACGACGACUGCCUCGUCGACGAGUGCAGCCUGUCCUUCUAG